rnacentral:tRNA from 1 species
AGCUAUUUAGUUUAUGUAAAAAUUUUUAUUUGUGGUAUAAAAGAAUUAUUAGCUAU